GCCAGGCGUGGUGGUGCAUGCCUGUAGUCCCAGCUACUUAGGAGGCUGAGGUGGGAGGAUCGCUUGAGCCCAGGAGGUCAAGGCUGUAGUAAGCCAUGAUCACACCACUGCACUGCAGCCUGGGCUACACAGUGAGACCCUGUCUCAU
rfam:Homo sapiens chromosome 12, GRCh38 reference primary assembly.